CAGACCUUUGCUUUCUUCAAUUGCUCCAACCUUUGCACAUUCCAGCCCUAAUUUCAGUCGUCUCACUUCCCUUGAACAAGAAGAACACCACAUACUGCAUCCGUCUUCGUCCCUCUCUCUCCCGUGCUCUCCUCCAUCGUCCCUGCUCUCUCUGGUGCUCUCCUCAUCCUGCUCUCCUCCGUCUUACCAGCAUCGUCGUCUUCUUUCAUCACAAAGUAGGUUUUCUUCAUUUCAAUUUUUCUACUCUAUUCAAUCAUCUCCUGGUUCGAUUCUUCAGCUUUGCUCUCAUAAGCCAAGUUCAAUUUUCAAUGGGCUUCAGCCUAAUUGUUUCUGUAACCCUUCUCUUUUUACCGAUUCAGUAGCUUUAGGGACCCCUUCAAUCGAUCUCGGUGGUUCAUUCUCUACUCAAGAGAUCCAAGAAUGCCAUGAUGCAGUAAGAUAAGUAGAAAGGAAGCUUCUUGAUUUUGCAAAGGAGGAACAUGAUGGUUGAAUCAGGAACCUGGAGAAAAGAUUUUAUUGUCGAUGGUUUAGAAAGUUACCUGUCAUAUAACCUGCCAAAGGGAGGAAGCUGGUGGGAGRAAGUUUGAUUGGAGGGAUAAAGGAGACACAAGAGAUGAUAGAUUUUGCAGCAAAACACAAUAUCACAGCCGCAAUCGWGCUCAUUYCRAUAGACUAUAUCAACAC